AAGUACUAUAUAAAAUUUUAAAAUUUGUUGAAAUAAAUUAGAUUGCAAUCAUUUCAUCAAGGCAUGAAUUUUCUUCAGUGUGUUGAAUUUUGGAUGGUUUAUUACUGUAAAAUAUUGCUAAUGCUUAAAAAAGAUGUGUACAAAGAACAUUAUAAGGUCCAUUUAAAAAUAUCCAAUGAGACAUAAGUAAAUAGAUGAUAUUUCAUAUUUGUGGAUAGAAAAUUUUAAUAUAGUAAAAUUUCCAAUUUAUCUAUAGAUACAGGGAGUUUUCAAUUCAAAUGCCAAAGCUUUCAUGGAAUUUGACAUACUGGUUUCAUAAUUUUACAUGGCAGAGCAAAGACCACAAAUAGCCAAGAUAUUCCUGGAGAAGCAUAAGAUGAGUAGAAAUAUCCUGCUUUAUAAAGCCUUAAGGGGUACAUAAUGUGUCAGUGCAGGGAUGGAUUAGUUACCUAAUGGACUAUCCAGGCUUGUUGGCUCCUUUGUCAGACUUUUGAACUACCGUUUCAGUCUGUUCUAUUGUUAUAUGCUAUUUGAGUUUCUACUUUUUGAGUUAGUUUUAUAAACAUAUUUUCCCAGGAAUUUGUCAAUAUAUUCUGUUUUCAAAUCUACUGUUAUAAAUUAUCAGAGUAUUAUUUUAUUGUCAUUUUGAUUAUUGCUAAAGUUGUGUUUCUUUUUUCAUUACUAAUGUUGAACCUUUGUGCUAUUCUUUUCUUUAUCAAUUUCAUAAGACAAUAAGGUAUUUGACAAUUUCAUUGGUCUUUGCAGAGAACUGACUUUGGACUUGUUAACCAUCUCUAUUGCAUUUUGAUUUUCUAUUUAGUUAUUCUCUAUCCGUAUCCUUAUUAUUUCCUUCAUUUUUAUUUUCUUUGAAUUUAUUCUAUUGCUACUUUUUAUAACUUAAGUGUGAAACUUACCUUAUUAAUUUGUAGCCUUCUUUUCUAAUAUAAACAUUUAUGCCUAUAAAUAUCCCUUUCUCCCCAGCCUUUGUUUUAUCUCACAAGUUUUGUUAUAUAAAAUUUUCACUUGUUCAUUUAAAACAAUCUUAUCUCGACUCAUAAGUUAUUUGGGAGUAUUUUUAAAUUUCAAACUGUAUGGGGAUUUUUAUAAAAUAUGUAUUUCUAACAACCCCAUUUUUGUGAGGAUUAAAUGAAAUAAUGUGAGAUUACAGUGGACAUUGUUAGGGUUCUAUAACUCUAAAGUAUUGCUGCUAUCCAUGAAUAUUCCUAGCAUUUAUUUAUCACUUGCAAUGUGCCAGGAGCCGUGCUUGUUAGUGGUGAAGUUUGAAACUAAAAGGUGCUUCUAUUCUAGAGACGGCAGCAAAGGUGAAGCCCUCAGCACAGAUCUCUGAGAGGCGGUGAUGUUAGGGAAAGCAGUUCUGGGCCAUCAGAGGAAAUGAGGGGCAAGCAGGGUAUCCAAGAGGCAUCCACACCCUGGGUUUUUCUCCAACCAUAAGGAAAAUGGAUGCAGCUGUUUCCGAUAAGGAAAAGAAAACAUACUUCUUUGUAGAGAACAAAUACUGGAGUACAGAUUUGACGAAAACAGCCAGUCCAUGGAGCAAGGCUUCCCCAGACUGUUAGCAGAUGAUUUUCCAGGAGAUGAGCCGAAGGUUGAUGCUGUAUUAGAGGCAUUUGGUACAAAGACACUCGUUUCAUUGCCAAUGGGGACACGUUGGGGCAUUUUAUAUCAAAAUGAUUUGGAGAAUCAAAACUAUUGCAAACUAUUCGGUCUUAUGUCUUUUUAAGCCAAAUUAUUGAAAACUUUGACUUUCUAAUUUAUGCAGAUUAGAUUAAAAUUUGUUUUUCUUGAA